rnacentral:rRNA from 1 species
UCUGGUAAUAAUGGCGAGAAGGUCACACCCGUUCCCAUACCGAACACGGAAGUUAAGCUUCUCAGCUCCGAUGGUAGUUGGGACUUUGUCCCUGUGAGAGUAGGACGUUGCCAGGC